CUCAACAUUAUAUGAUCUUAAAGAUAAAGAAGAUUUGAACGGCACCGAUCAAUCAUUCACUGGUGAAUGCAAAUGUCUAGUGCAUUUAAAACAUUGUGAAAAAUAUUUCAAAGAAAUCAUUCGCCAACAAAAUAUAUUAAAAGCAAACAUGUGGCAAUACACGGAUGCUCUCCAAGAAUUAACCACAUCUAUUAAUCACCUUGUUACGAAUAAUAAGGUCAAUCAAGUGCAGGAAACAACCUCAUUUUUGACAAUUUUUGA